GACGUAGGGCGCGAGCGUUGUCCGGAUUUAUUGGGCGUAAAGAGCUCGUAGGCGGCUUGUCGCGUCGACUGUGAAAACCCGUGGCUCAACCAUGUGGUCUGCAGUCGAUACGGGCGGGCUAGAAUUCGGUAGGGGAGACUGGAAUUCCUGGUGUAGCGGUGAAAUGCGCAGAUAUCAGGAAGAACACCCGUGGCGAAGGCGGCUCUCUGGGACGGUACUGACGCUGAGACGCGAAAGCGUGGGGAGCGAACAGG
rnacentral:rRNA from 1 species